rnacentral:rRNA from 1 species
UCCCUUAGUAACUGCGAGUGAAGCGGGAAAAGCUCAAAUUUAAAAUCUGAUGGUCUUUGGCCAUCCGAGUUGUAAUCUAGAGAAGUGCUGCCCACACUGGACCAUGUAUAAGUCUUCUGGAAUGAAGCGUCACAGAGGGUGAGAAUCCCGUCUUUGACAUGGACUCCCAGUAUGUUGUGGUGUGCUCUCAAAGAGUCGAGUUGUUUGGGAAUGCAGCUCUAAAUGGGUGGUAACCUCCAUCUAAAGCUAAAUAUUGGCGAGAGACCGAUAGUGAACAAGUACCGUGAGGGAAAGAUGAAAAGAACUUUGGAAAGAGAGUUAAACAGUACGUGAAAUUGUUGAAAGGGAAACGCUUGAAGUCAGUUGCAUUGGUUGGGGAUCAACCUAGCUCUUUUGCUUGGUGUACUUCCUGUUUGAUGGGCCAACAUCAGUUUUGACUGCUGGAAAAGGGCGGAGGGAAUGUGGCACCUCUGGGUGUGUUAUAGCUCUCUGUCAUAUAUGGCAGUUGGGACUGAGGAAUGCAGCGCGCUACAAGGCCGGGUUUCGACCACGUUCGCGCUUUGGAUGUUGGCAUAAUGGCUUUAAUCGACCCGUCUUGAAACACGGACCAAGGAGUCUAACAUGCCUGCGAGUGUUUGGGUGGAAAACCCGAAUGCACAAUGAAAGUGAAAGUUGAGAUCCCUGUCAUGGGGAGCAUCGACGCCCGGACCUGAGC